rnacentral:lncRNA from 1 species
AUCUUGGGCUAGAGGAAGCAGACAAUGCUGUGACACUCACAGCCUUCCUCUGUAUUGCUCCUCAGGCUCCUGAAGACCUGAAGAAAGAUGGUGUCAUUGCUGUGGAAAAAUCUCUGGAGUCAAAGGCCUGGGCGCAGCUCUGGACUCUGCGUAUAACACAUCUACAAUCUGGCAAACCCUUGGCCCAAAGAUUCACACCAGGUGGGCCACAGCAGGCAGGCCUCAGCAGAGCACAGGAUGUGUUCUAACAGCAGCUACCCAAGUGAAGCAUCUGCUGGACCAGUGGGACCUUUGGCUUGGGGGACCUUUCAUUGUCUUUCCAGAGACCCUGCCUUCCUCAGGCCAGCCGUCCUUGGGAGAGAGGAGCCCUCACCAGAACACUGUUGCUGCUGUGGCUAUCUGCUGUUCUUCCCACAGCCUCCUGUGGCCUGGUAGCCAGGCUUCCAAUGCGUUAUACACAGAGUUUGGGUGCACACUGCCCUCCCUCUAAGAUGCCAGAAGUUUUUCCACAGCCUUGGAGAGGGGCUUUGACUGAGGGCUGGGGGCCCUAGGCUCCGUUUCCUUCACAUUCCAGCUGGCCCGGAUCCCUCUGUGGCCAUAAGGCCUUGCCCCCUUCACCCUGCCCUCUGGGUGACAUUGGAGCAGACCUCCACAUGGCCAGCACGGGUUUGGGAGAACUUUACAAACAUUAGGACCUAACACUGUCUCAUCGCUGAAAUAAGAGGCCAUAGCACCGAAAAGCAGCGUGGGCACCGGCUGAGGCUUCUCCCAGCCCGUGGAUGGCAGCAUACUAGACAUGCCUGCCAUUAUCUUAAAGCCAUCCCCCCCAGCCAUUGUGAGCAUCCCAGCAGCACCACCAUUGUCUCAACCAGCCGGCUCCUCGUCUGUACACCUGGGGAUUUCUUUUGAUUUCAAGAACAGCCUUAAUCAUUCCAGUUUGAUUUACAUGUAUACCUCAUGAACAUUUUUUUUGUUUUAUUUUUCUUUCUCUCCCUUUCUUUUCUUUGCUUUUAUCCCUUUGUGUCCCCCCUCCACCACCUUGUGACUGAUGGUUUGGUUUCCUCUCUGCUCUGCCCCUGCUCAGCACAGGGAGAAAUGUUGAUUUAGAAGCAAUAGCAGGCAGCAGGCCACCAAGAGCACAAACCCAGGGCGAGGUCUAGGGAGGCCCCUCAGCCCGCCUGUUUACUGUGCAAUUCCAGUCCUUCUUAAGCCAUCAGCAGUGGGUGUGCUCAGAGCAGAGAACUUCUGCACCGGCCAAGGGAAAGGCUCAGAGCCUUGUAGGGUAAGGGGAGUGUGACUCUUGUCCAUUCACCUGGUGGACUGGGCUGCAUGCCUCCCCAAAGCCCUUCCCUUGGAGGCCUCCCUUCAUCUUGGGCACAGCCACAAGUCUCAUCUCUAAUGUUCUAUGCAAUGAAAUAU